rnacentral:rRNA from 1 species
GACGUAGGGCGCGAGCGUUGUCCGGAAUUACUGGGCGUAAAGAGCUCGUAGGUGGUUUGUCGCGUUGUUCGUGAAAUCUCACGGCUUAACUGUGAGCGUGCGGGCGAUACGGGCAGACUGGAGUACUGCAGGGGAGACUGGAAUUCCUGGUGUAGCGGUGAAAUGCGCAGAUAUCAGGAGGAACACCGGUGGCGAAGGCGGGUCUCUGGGCCGAUACUGACGCUGAGGUGCGAAAGCGUGGGGAGCGAACAGG